rnacentral:rRNA from 1 species
AGUGAACGCUGGCGGCAGGCCUAACACAUGCAAGUCGAGCGGCAGCGCGUCCGACCACCCUCGGGUGGUCGGAUGGCGGCGAGCGGCGGACGGGUGAGGAAUGCAUCGGAAUCUGCCUCGUUGUGGGGGAUAACGUAGGGAAACUUACGCUAAUACCGCAUACGACCUACGGGUGAAAGUGGGGGACCUUCGGGCCUCACGCGAUGAGAUGAGCCGAUGCCGGAUUAGCUAGUUGGCGGGGUAAAGGCCCACCAAGGCGACGAUCCGUAGCUGGUCUGAGAGGAUGAUCAGCCACAUUGGGACUGAGACGCGGCCCAAACUCCUACGGGAGGCAGCAGUGGGGAAUAUUGGACAAUGGGCGCAAGCCUGAUCCAGCCAUGCCGCGUGAGUGAUGAAGGCCUUAGGGUUGUAAAGCUCUUUUAGCAGGGACGAUAAUGACGGUACCUGCAGAAAAAGCCCCGGCCAACUUCGUGCCAGCAGCCGCGGU